UAUAUAGCUUAAAUGUACAAUUUCUACAGGACGAAUUAUAACUUCAUUAUGUAUAAAGCUCCUGUGGAUAAUUACUCCUAUUUGUAACUUUACACAAGAGAAAGUUUGCUGUCACACUAUUUAUAACAGGUUGGAUUUUGUCCUCUGAGUUGAGCCUUUGGUUGCAGUUUAUUGAAGAAUUUCCUCUAAAGUAGCUGUUGAUAAAGAUUUCAAGUCCUGUUUAUAUACAGAAAUAUGCUUUAGUUCAUGUUUUUUUACAUGUCUGCCUCAGUGGAUCAGUAGAAGAUCUGGCACAGGAAACUAGAUGAUGAAAAAAGGAGGAAACACCUGGGCCUCAUCAGUGCAGCCAGCAUUUAAGCCAGGGAGUGGCUUCUUCUCAUCGCUGGAUUGUUGUGUGUGACUCGCGUCAGUGCUCUGAGCAAGUUCUCUUUUGCUUCCCUGUGCAAAACCUCUAACGUGUGUUUCCUUCUGUACAUAGAUCCCCUGGACCCGACUCUGCAUUCCCCGAGCGGAUUCCCUUUUUGUGUGAGUGUUUGGAGAGAGAGUCAGAAGAGGAGCAAGUGUCUUUCCCCUACCUGGAUUUCCCCGGAGCCUUUUCCCUGUCACCGCUUUGUAUAUAGCACUAUCCCCUGCACUGUUUGUAUAUACACCUGGUGGAACUGUAAUAAAUACUGACUGUGCCUCUGA